UUAUAUAUUUUUGAUUUAACUGUGUGACAAUUAAUUAACGAUAUAAUUAAAUCACAACAUCCUUAUGAACAGUACCUAACCCGGGUUACUGUUCAUAAAGAUGCUUUUAACUCAACCAAGGUUACUUUGUCCACUGAUCCACUGCCUCCAUCAUUAGCUUCUAAAUUCUCAAUGUAUUCCACCUUCUCCACCGCUCACCUUUUCCGCUGGGUUACUACACAGUUCCGGUUCGUUGCACCCCGCUAUUAUUUGUGUAUUCGAACUUUAAAUUGACUGAUGGUGAUGAAACAGAGGUUGAAGAAGCCACUGGUUUCUCUAUGUUUUCGUAGACACAAAGUCACCGUCCGCCGCCCGCCGGUUGACUUCCGCCUGCCGACUCCCUUCCGUCGGUCUUUACGACCUUCGUUUUGCAGAAAAUCGACUCGACAAUCGACUGGUGUUCGACUUCAUGUAUACUCGACUGUCUAAAAUCGAUCGACGGUCACACCCUUCUCUAAAAUCGAACGACGACGCCCCGGUAAGUGGUGCUCGACUUCAUGUAAGAGCCUUUGCUUUUGGAUUUUUUUUUCGAGUUGAAAAACUGUUUGCUUUCAAGAAAGUUGUAAAUAUGAAUUACUUAUCGGAUAAAAUUCAAACUAAUUUAGCUACAAAUGAAAAGAUCGUUUUCAAUGGUAUUUUCAAAGCCAAGUGUUAAAUAACUAAAUGUAGAUUAGUUGGCUAAAAAUGAUGUUAAAAUUUUCGGAUGCUUUUGAAUAAUAAUUUUCAUGAGUGGACGUGUUUUAAAUUUAUUAUUUGAUGUAAUUUUUGUUUGGCUAAAUCGGUAUUUUUUUUAUGAUACACAACAUAUAUUUGAUUUUUUUGGAAAAAGUGUUUCACAUUAAAUUUUAGGUGAUAAUAAGUUAACAUAAUUUGAAUUUUAUUGUGUGUAGGUCCUCUGAUCCAUAUUUGAUCUUUUGAAUGCAAUAAUUGUUUUUGUUAAGUUAUCUAUUGUAGAUAUGUUUACCUGUAGAUUGUUAUAGGCUUACACAUUCAAUUUUAUCACAAAUUGUGUAUGUUUUAUAUAAGCAUAUUUAUAAUUGAUAAUUUGCUCAAUUUAUCAGUUGAUGCAAUUUCCUUUGUGCCUUACGGUGGAAGAAAGGUACCCGAUACAAGCUGAAAGUAAAAAAAAAAAAAAGGAAGAAAUCUUACGGAAAUUGAACUAUAAGCGUUACGGGUGCAAACGAGCCAAGCUACUCGUGAGCUACUCGGGAUCGGAUCGAUAAAAGCUCGACUCGAAACCGAUUUUAAACGAGCCCGAGCCGAGCUCGGGCUUAAUAUUAAGCUCGUUUAUUAAACUAGCUCGAGCUCGAGCCUAUGUCACUAAGCUCGAUUAGGCUCGCGAGCCUAAACGAGCCUUUACAUAAUAUAAUUUAUUAUUAUUUAUAUAUAUUAAAAUAAAAAUAUAUUAGAGGAAUUACGGAUUUAGGGUAUUAGUAAACGAGCUUCUUAACGAGCUCGAGCCGAGCUUAAGCUUAUUUAGGCACGUCAGAUAAAAAUGAGUCGAGCCCGAGCCCGAGCCGAGCUUGGAUAAUUCUUUACGUGCUCGAGCUGAGCUCAGUANNNNNNNNNNNNNNNNNNNNNNNNNNNNNNNNNNNNNNNNNNNNNNNNNNNNNNNNNNNNNNNNNNNNNNNNNNNNNNNNNNNNNNNNNNNNNNNNNNNNNNNNNNNNNNNNNNNNNNNNNNNNNNNNNNNNNNNNNNNNNNNNNNNNNNNNNNNNNNNNNNNNNNNNNNNNNNNNNNNNNNNNNNNNNNNNNNNNNNNNNNNNNCUUUCUUAUAUAUAUAUAUAUAUAUAUAAAUAUAUAUAUAUAUAUAUAUAUAUAUCACAAAUUCUUAAGUUUUUUGAUGUAAACCCACUUGAGAGCUUCUUCUUUUUACCCAUUUUGGUAAUUUAAUUGUUUACAAGGUUAUAUUUCGGUGAGCAUAACCUUCAAACAAACAAAUUUUUGCUUCGUAUGCAGUCACUUGGUAUCAGGAUUUAAAGGAGGUGAGCUUCAAAAGAAUCCAAAUGUUAUUGAGAUACUUAAUAGGCAUUUUACUUUCAUUGAGUCUAUUUUUUUUUUAUUAAAAUUGCAUUAUAUGUUUUUGCUAUUUAAUUCACAUCCAACCUAUGCAAAGCAUGGACACCUACACUAGUUUACAUUAAUUAUAUUAUUUUAAAUUUUGUAACACUUGGCUUUUUAUCAUAGAAUAAAAAGUAAAUUAUGUAAUUAUUUACAUUGAUAGUUACUAUGGUUCGCAGUAAUUUACGUUUGUUGCCUAACUUUUUUUUCUUUAAUUCGGACAAUCGUAAUAGUCUGUUUAUGUUUGUUGCCUAACUUUUUUUUCUUUAAUUCGGACAAUCGUAAUAGUCUGUUUCUGUUAUGUCGUUGGUCCUUGGUCCAGUGUAACAUAAAAAAAACUAUUUAGCCCUAAAUAAUUUAUUUUUUAAUUUGUUUAUUCUUUUAUCCUUUUUAUAUUAUUAAUACAUGGAUAGUUACUAUGGUUCGGAGUAAUUUACGAUUGGUCCUAACUUUUUUUAAAAUCGGACAAUCUGAAUAGUUUGUUCUUGUUGUGUCGUUGGUCCCUGUCUAACAUAAAAAACUAUUUUGCCCUUAAUAAUUUAUUUUUUAAUUUAUUUAUUCAUUGUUUAUUGUUUUAUCCUUUUUAUAUUAUUAAUAUAUAUAAAAAAUCAUUUGCAUCCCCACUCCCUUAUUCACCAUAUCUUCUUGCACCAUCAUCACCAAUACUGGUCACGUACAUCACUGACGACCACCACCUUUGCCCAUUUUUUUUGACAAACAGAAAAUAUUGUGACAUCCCCAAUUUUACGGUCAGAAAAGACCGGUUUAAUUUAUGUUUUUAAAAUGAUUUCAGAGUAAUCAUUUGAUUUAAAGAGUUGCGGAAUUUGUUCCCAAACAAAAUAUGAUAAAAUUUAUCAAAACGUUUCUCAAAGAGAACGUAUUAUCAAUAAAUAAUAAAACCUCGGGAUAUCAUGUUCCGAUACAGACCAAAAGCAUAAACAGUAUAAAAUAGACCUUACAACAGUUAUUUAUAACUAAUGAUCUAUAAUCCAAAACCUCUCGUCAAGUCCACCAACUUAUACCUUUGUUCCAUUACCUGUAAUGCAAAGAAAACUGAGUGGGUCAGGCUUGGAAGCCUAGUGAGCAUAUAGGGUUUUCAACCCACAAUAAAUAAUUAAUUUAAUUUCAUCAACCAAUAAUAACUCAAUUACCCAUUCUCGUUAUUCUCACUUUACGUCCCUAAGACAACUAACAUAAGGGACCUAGUCUAAGAAUAUUUCAUCAAGGCGACAACAUAUGUUUCGGGGGUUCCUCAGCAAUAUGUUACAUUUUAUAAUUUACACAGGAUUCAUACUAAUCUUAAACUAGGAUUAAUACUAAUAAGAUACGCCAUCGAAUAGUAACAGAACGAAUACGAAAAUAUAGUUAGGAACAGAACGAAUACGAAAGUAUAGUUAGGAAUAGAACGAAUACGAAUACGAAAGAAGAAUACGAAAGAACGCCUUUGGAUGACACUAAGACUUUGGAAAUACAGUUAGUGUACGCCUUGAGUGUCACCAGAGUUUCGGAAAUAAUUCGAAAGUACGCCUCUGGACAUCGACUGAGUUUCGAAAACAUACGCCUUUGGAUGUCGACAAAGCUUCGAAAAUACGUCUAUAGUACGCUUUUGGAAGUCACCAGAACAUCGAAUAUACAGUUCAUGUACGUUUCUGAGUGUACCCAAAUAUUCGAAAAUACGGCUAAGUAUGGUAGAUAAUUGACAUUCGUGUGUAGGAUAACUAAGAUAUCAGAAUACCUAACUAAUACUACAAGUAUGCCAAAUAUUAGUACAUUAUGUAACGAAUGGAUAACUAAACUAUUAGGAAAAUAAGGGAUUUUCCUGGGAAAACAUAACGGCUCGAAAUCGAAUUGUGUAACGAUUGGAUAACUAAACAAUUAGGAAAAUAAGAGAUUUUCCUGGGAUAACAUAACAACUCGUAAUCGAAUUGUGUAACGAAUGAUAACUAAACUGUUUUUAUAAGAAAAUAUGGAAUUUUCUUGGAUAACAACUUUUUCAGAAAACCAAAGGAAACUUAUUCUUUUUCAAAAAUGAACCGCUUAUGAACUCACCAGCUUUAUGCUGAUUUUCAAACUGCUUGUAUUCUCAGGUCCACAUUAGACGGGUACACCGCGAUAUUUUGGAGAAGACGGAGCGUAUAGNUAUAUAUAUAACACUUGUAACACUUUGUUUUCAAACAAUGUAAAUAUUUCUAUGUAAUAUAAUGGUUGUGUUUAUUACGCUUACUAUGGACAUUGGUUACGAUAUACAUGACAUCCUCCGCCCCGGAACGUUUCC
rnacentral:lncRNA from 1 species